CAAGUACUCCCUCCGUCCGGAAUUACUUGUCAUCAAAAUGGAUGUGUCUAGAACUAAAAUACAUCUAAAUACAUCCAUUUCAAUGACAAGUAUUUUCGAACGGAGGGAGUACAAG
rnacentral:pre_miRNA from 1 species